rnacentral:rRNA from 1 species
AUUGAACGCUGGCGGCAGGCCUAACACAUGCAAGUCGAGCGGGGUUUUCGGACCUAGCGGCGGACGGGUGAGUAAUGCGUAGGAAGCUACCCGAUAGAGGGGGAUACCAGUUGGAAACGACUGUUAAUACCGCAUAAUGUCUACGGACCAAAGUGUGGGACCUUCGGGCCACAUGCUAUCGGAUGCGCCUACGUGGGAUUAGCUAGUUGGUGAGGUAAUGGCUCACCAAGGCGACGAUCCCUAGCUGGUUUGAGAGGAUGAUCAGCCACACUGGAACUGAGACACGGUCCAGACUCCUACGGGGGGCAGCAGUGGGGAAUAUUGGACAAUGGGCGCAAGCCUGAUCCAGCCAUGCCGCGUGUGUGAAGAAGGCCUUCGGGUUGUAAAGCACUUUCAGUAGGGAGGAAGCGUUGUGUGUUAAUAGUACACAGCGUUGACGUUACCUACAGAAGAAGCACCGGCUAACUCUGUGCCAGCAGCCGCUGUAACAC